GCUUACGACCACACCGGCCUGAGUACGCCUGAUCUCGUCUGAUCUCGGAAGCUAAGCAGGGUCGGGCCUGGUUAGUACUUGAUGGGAGACUUCCUGGGAAUACCAGGUGCUGUAAGCU
ensembl:rRNA 5S_rRNA 5S ribosomal RNA